rnacentral:rRNA from 1 species
UACGUAGGGUGCGAGCGUUGUCCGGAAUUAUUGGGCGUAAAGAGCUUGUAGGCGGUUUGUCGCGUCUGCUGUGAAAAUCCGGGGCUCAACCCCGGACUUGCAGUGGGUACGGGCAGACUAGAGUGUGGUAGGGGAGACUGGAAUUCCUGGUGUAGCGGUGAAAUGCGCAGAUAUCAGGAGGAACACCGAUGGCGAAGGCAGAUCUCUGGGCCGUAACUGACGCUGGAGGGAGCGGAAAGCAUGGGGAGCGAACAGG